ACGCCAUUCUCCUGCGUCAGCCUCCCGAGUAGCUGGGACUGCAGGCGCCCGACACGACGCCCAGCUAAUUUUUUGUGUUUUUAGUAGAGACGGGGGUUUCACCGUGUUAGCCAGGAUGGUCUGGAUCUCCUGACCUCGUGAUCCGCCCGCCUCGGCCUCCCAAAGUGCUGGGAUUACAGGCGUGAGCCACCGCGCCCGGCCCCUCAUAAGGUCAAGAAGGGAAGCCAGAAGUCAAGGCCACAGAAGACACAGGAAACAUCAUUUCCAAAGUGGGAGACAAAGCUGUUAACAGGAAAUUAUUUGUAAAGUCAAGAGCCAAGCAAAACAGAAAAAGGACAAGAAAUCUAUCACCUGCCAAAGACGGCUAUGUUUUUAAAGGAACUACAGUAUCUUAUCGUUCUGAUGGUCUGGAAGUUUAUAUUCACAUCCAAGAAUUCUUCCUGCUUCUCCGAAAACUCAUCCUUUGCUUUAUUACUCUUCAUGGGAAUAAGGAAACAGCUGUGCAGUAUAAGUUAUGUGCUCUUUCUUUUCUUCUUGACAACUAUUAUCAACUCAUUCUUACCGAAAAAUGACUUAAUAAACUUCUCUCUUCUAGCCUCUUUUAAAAGAUCUAUGUAGUUUCCAAAACUCUUAAACACUGUAGGAACUUUUUCAAAGCCUAUUUCAAAUUGGGGUCUGUAUCAGAUGUAAUAAUCUUUAGAAAACCUGAUCAAUAUUAAUUAUUUAGACAUGAUACCCUCCUCAUUUCUAAUUAGCAAAUGUUUUAUUUUUUUCUUUGUAUUUGAUAUGAGCACUUUAUGCACCCUUUACCCCACACCCCAACAAAUCUAAGAAAAUAAAUUAUGGGCCCAGACAUUUUAUUGAUUUUAAAAUUAACUUAUUAAUCCGUGAAAAGCCUAAAAUGAGAAAGGUAAAAAACCCAGGUCAUAAUAUAUCCUAGAAAUUCCUCUUUUAAAAAUAUCCCAUAUUUUGUUCAAUGGAUUCCCAUGUUUCUAAUGAAAAAGAAACACCAAUUUUUCCACUCAAUUUCAAUAUUAAGAAAAAAGGCAGGGGAGAAUACUUUCUAUGGGAAAAAGAUGCCAAAUUGCAUGGGUUUGAAAACAUUUGAUUCCAGAAGACAUUAUGAGAUCAGUCUAUUCUGAGAUGUCCUCAGAGUUAUCCCUGAGCUGUCUGCAACCUGACCUUUCAGUUGUUGAUACCAGUUGUUUGUGUCCUUGUUUGAUUGUUCCUUUUCCUCCCUAUCACUUAUGACGAAAGUUACAUUGUUCUUAAUCCUAGGAUCUUAUCUAAAUUAUUUGCCGUUCCACUAAACCUCAACAUUUUUUUGCUCAGGCUUUCGAUAGUUUGAACUCCCAACUUAAAAAUUCUGUAAUUUUUUUCCAUCUUUCAUUGUUUAUUGUUAUAUGCUUUUAUUUAGAAACCAUAGAUUCUAACAAGAAAUCAGGAUUAAAAUUGCGGGUCUGAAACUAAUGAGCUGUUUGAACUUGGGCAAGUUCCUUAACCUUGUUGAACUUCAGUUUCUUCAUCUAUAAAAUGGAAAAAUCAAUAUCUAUCUCAUAAUAUUGGUGUGAGUAGCAAGUGAAAUAAUGUGUAUAAAGGAAUAAGAAUGGUGCUGGCAUUGUUAAAUCUAAAAAUACUAGUUUGCCUUCUCAUUCCUCAUUGAUUUCCUUUUUCAAGCUAAAACUGGAUUUCACUUUGUCAGAAGCAACUGGAAUAUAAUGUGCAGAAGAAUAUGGCUAAUGCAGCUUAAAUUUGUUGUUAUCAUUGUAUUAAAUGAUCUAAAACUGUAUCAAAUUGUGUACAGUGAAUUUGCUUACAAAGGAGGACUCCUAAAUUUAGUUGGUCACUCAUUUUUGGUCAU
rnacentral:lncRNA from 1 species